GCCUGGGUGGCUCAGUCGGUUGAGCACUAACUUCGGCUCAGGUUAUGAUCUCAUGGUUCGUGGGUUCGAGACCCACGUCGGGCU
rnacentral:tRNA from 1 species